rnacentral:snoRNA from 1 species
UUAUUGAAAUGUUUCCCACUCCUUGCCCCCUCAAAAAAAGAGGGGGUGCUGGUGUGGGGACAGAAGAGAGAAAAGGAGAAAAGUGGCUUCAGCUCAGCGGAACACUA